GAGGGUAGAGCUCAAGUGGAAGAGCACAUGCUUAGUAUGUACGAGGUCCUGGGUUCAAUCCCCGGUACCUCCU
rnacentral:tRNA from 1 species